GCCACCUGUAUUUAAAGUCAGCAACGGCAGAACUCUAGAGAAUAUUGCUUACCAAAGGACCCAGCUGACUGACUUCACCCCUGCUGCAAGUGAGGUUCAUCGUUUGUAUCUGUCUGUUGUUGGAAGACUCAGGGAGACAGACACCUCAGGACUGAGGAGGAGAGAGAGGAUGUGCCAAGGCUAACAGGGUAGCAGUUUCCUCUUCCAUAAAAUGAAGAUAACAGUAGUACCUCUUGGAUGGAUGUGUUAAGAAAAAGAUAAUGCCUGUGAAGUACCUAGCGCAGGACCUAGCACAGUACAUAGCACGGUACCUGGAGAACUGUGAUGAGCUUGUUUCCCACUUCACUGGAAAACAAAAUGGGAAUAUUCAGAAGAUAAGUUCCACAGCUCCCAUAGCAUCUUCCUAUCUACCAGGAUUUGGACCUUCUACACCCUGCUCCCAUUAAGGAAUUAGCCUUGCUCUUGUCCAAAACUAGCCUUUGCGUAUGCCUUAGAUCCUAUCCCCCUUGCUUGCUCACAGGCUUUGCUCCAGCAAUUCUCCCUAUUUUUCCCCUAUACCAUCAGCUUCCUCUCUCUACUAGGUCAUUUCCACCAGCACACAACAAUACUGUCUCUCUCAUCUUAGAAAUGGAAACUAACAAAAUUGAGUUCACUUUUCCUUCUGACACUAUCCCUUUUCUACCUCCCCCACUUUACAGCAAAACUCUUUGAAAGCUGCCUGAAUUUCACUGCUUCCAUUUCCUCUCCUCUUCUCACUUAAACCUACUGCUGCCAGAACCGGGACUCCACCACCUCACCAGACCCCUGCUUGUCAAUAUCAUCAAUGACUUCCAUCUUGCUAAAUCCAUUUCUUGUCCCCAUUGAACUUGACCCUCAGUAACACCUUGUCAAAUUAACCACUCCCUUCUCAUGGAAAUGAUUUCUUGUUUUCUAAGACACUACACAUUUCGUUUUCCUUCAACACCCCUGGAUGCUGCUUCCCAGUCUUGUCCCUUAACCUCCUAGCACUGAAGUGAUGCAGGGCUCAGUCCACAGAUCUCUUCAUCUUUCCUGUUCACUCCAUACUCACCCUCUUGGUAAUUCCCUUCCAGUUUCAUCGUUUAAAUGGCAUCUGUCUGCAAAUGAUUAUCAAAUGUAUGCCUCCAGCCAUGGCCACUGCUCUCAACGUUAGCUUAUCCAUCUAACUGUCAACUCUGUAUCUCUACCUGGACGCCUGAUGGAGGUCUCCAAUGUACCAUGCCCUAAACUGAAAUUUUGAUCUUCUUUAUCCACAGAAUCUGCUCGACCCUAUCUCAGUUAAAGGCAUAUGUUACUAAAGCCAAAGUCAGCAAAGAAGGAGCCUCCAUGCUUGGAAACAACCCAGCUAACUGCCAUCUGUGUGGUAGCUUGAGUGUGGAUUGAAGAACGGAGAGUCAGGAUUCUAGGGGAGAGUGGAACCAAUGGCUGGGCUGGAACCUGCAUGCCAGCACCUCCCCCACAUGCUGUUGGUCAAGCCAGAUUCAAGAGAUGGGGAAACAGACUCCGCCUCUGGAUGCCGCAAAGUCCCACGGCAAAGGGCAGGAAUAUAGAGACCUUAUCUAGGAAAAUAAAUGAACCUUUAGCUCUGGAAGGAGAUAGAAUGGAGAAUGCCCUAUAAGGAGACAAAGAAGAAAUAGCCUGAGUUUUUAAAAGAUGGAUUGAGAUCCCUUUCUCUCCUCCUGGUUGCUGAGGAAGACAUACAUAUCCCACUGCAAUAAAUCGGGGGAUGAUCAUUCAUACCAUGACAAAAUGGCAGAAAAUGUGCAACUCCAAGACCAAGAAAACGUGAAGAGGCUGUGACUACCUCCAUGUGAGAAACAUCUGAGUUCCUCCUGAUCCUAAGACCUCCCCACAAUGUAUGUAUGAUAGCAAUUUCCUCUGACAGAGCAGUGAAUUUGAUGAUAGUGCAUCGAUUGCUGUAAAUUGUCUGCUGGGUUACCUGUUCCUACCACCUUAGAGCACUCACAGCUCAGUGACUGUGGAAGUCAGCUUCCAAGAUGUUCCCCUAUGAUCCUCCCCUCCUUGUAUUCACAUCUGUAAAGAUUCCUCCCACAAUGAAUCACAGUUUCGUUUUGUGACCAACAGAAUACAGCAGAAGUAAGGAAAUGUGACUUCCAAGGCUAAUGAAUAAAAGGCUUUGCAGUUUUCUCCUUGGUCAGUUGGAAGCCACCUGCCAUGGACACUCAAGCAGUUCUGUGGAGAGGCUCAUGAGGGAAAGAACUGAGGCCCCUCCACCAACAUCCAGCACCAACUUGUCAGCUGUGUCUGUGAGCCAUCUAGGAAUGAGACCCUCCUGAAGCCCUGGUGAAGCCUUCAGAUGACCGUAGCCCCAGCCAACAUUUGGCUGCAGUCUCAUGGCAGGCUCCAAGCCAAACCCUACCAGUGAAUUUGCUACCAAAUUCCUGACUCAUGGAAACUGUGUGUGUAAUAAAUGUUUAUUGUAUGAUAAAGCCACUAAAUUUAGGAGUAAUUUCUUACACAGCAAUAGAUAACUAGUAGAGUCACUUUGCAUCUCUUAGGGUCUAUGGCAAAUGACACAUAAUGAAUAGAGAAAUUGGAACAGACAACUGGUUGUCUGUUUCAGUACAGAAACUGGUUGGUAUUAAGAGUGACAAUUUUUAUUAUAGUUCAAGCUAUAGUACUGUAUGUUCUUGAAUAAACUAUGCUAAUCUAGGCCAUCCAAAGACUUCCCAAAAUGUAUGGUGAGAAUAACAUUUCCAAGAUACUAAACCAAUGUUUGUAGCUCCUGAUAAUUCCUAAUUCCUGGUUGCCCCAAGCCACCACCUGCCCCAACUAAAACAAAAGAAUUGAUCACAUCAUAAUAAAAUUAGAACCUUCAAAGAACAGGCACUGAUCUCUUGGAAUUUUUAUUUUAAACUUAAGUUUACAUGACAAUCUGCUUCCACUUACAUGAUAAUCUGAAAGCAUAUGUUGAAAUGGCAUGGUUCUUGGUUGCAGAAAACAGAAAUGAAAUCUACCUAAGCAGAAAUUAAAAUUAUAGGAGGGAUAUUGGGAGCUCAUAACAUCCAGAGGCUGACUAAACAAACAGACUUCAACGUCAAAAGCAGCCCCCACCCUGGAGGCUAGGGAUCUAUGAGAGCAAAUUGAACAUCUGAUCUCUCAGCUCUCACCAAACUCACACCAUGGCAGAACCUUCACGAAGGGAGGAAGAGACUCAGAUGCUGAACACAAGGAGAG
rnacentral:lncRNA from 1 species